rfam:Salmo salar isolate Sally breed double haploid chromosome ssa22, whole genome shotgun sequence.
UGGCUCAGUUGGUAGAGCAUGGUGUUUGCAACAACAGGGUUGUGGGUUCGAUUCCCAC